UACGGAGGGUGCAAGCGUUGUCCAGAUUUAUUGGGCUUAAAGGGUGCGUAGGCGGCCCGUUAAGUCAGUGGUGAAAGCCUCCAGCUCAACUGGAGAACUGCCAUUGAUACUGGCGGGCUUGAGUACAGACGAGGUUGGCGGAAUUGAUUGUGUAGCGGUGAAAUGCAUAGAUACAAUCAAGAACACCGAUUGCGUAGGCAGCCAACUAGGCUGUAACUGACGCUGAGGCACGAAAGCGUGGGGAGCGAACAGG
rnacentral:rRNA from 1 species